UUGCCUCCUUCUCUAUUACGCCUCCACAUUUCAACUGGCGCUCUCUCUCCUCUCUUUUUCUCUUUCUAAAAACCAACCCACAUCUUCACUCUUUUCAUUGCCUCAAGAUUGAGACCAGCCAGGAUACAGACAGGACAGGAGUGAGACUUGGCUGGCUGGCUAAGCUAUUGAAAACAACGUUAAAGCAACAGCAACCCAGCACUUUUUAUCCAUUUUUUUCUUUGUUGUUUUUGGAAAAUUUAUUUAUAUAUAUAAAAGAAUCAGCUCUGUUUAUCAGUUUAUGCUUUUCUCUAUAUCUGGGUUUUGAGAUUGGGAUGCAAAGGUGGAGUCUUUUUGGCGAGCUGACCCAGAGGAAGACUCGGUUCUGAGUUAGGUUCUCUCGAUUUGAGGAGAGAGCUGGGUUUGUUUUGAUUUGGGGAGCUAGCUGAGCCAGUCAUGAACACUGGGGGUCGACUUAU
rnacentral:misc_RNA from 1 species